rnacentral:rRNA from 1 species
UACGAAGGGUGCUAGCGUUGCUCGGAUUUACUGGGCGUAAAGGGCGUGUAGGCGGAUGACCAAGUCGGGCGUGAAAUCCCGUGGCUCAACCUUGGAACUGCCGUGGAAACGGGCAGGCUUGAGUACGGUAGAGGUGAGUGGAAUUCCGGGUGUAGCGGUGAAAUUCGUAGAUAUCCGGAGGAACACCAGUGGCGAAGGCGAGUCACUGGGCCAUUACUGACGCUGAGGCGCGAAAGCGUGGGGAGCAAACAGG